GGAGCCUUGGCGCAGCGGUAGCGCGUGUGAUUCCAGUCCACAAGGUCAUCGGUUCAAAUCCGAUAGGCUUCA